rnacentral:rRNA from 1 species
UACAGAGGUCUCAAGCGUUGUUCGGAUUCAUUGGGCGUAAAGGGUGCGUAGGUGGCGCCGUAAGUGGGGUGUGAAAUCUCGGGGCUUAACUCCGAAACUGCAUUCCAUACUGCGGUGCUCGAGGACUGGAGAGGAGACUGGAAUUUACGGUGUAGCGGUGAAAUGCGUAGAGAUCGUGAGGAGGCCCAGUGGCGAAGGCGGGUCUCUGGCCCGUUCCUGACGCUGAGGCCCGAAUGCCAGGGGAGCAAACGGG